rnacentral:rRNA from 1 species
AGUAGUUUGAUCAGUGGCUCGAGAACGAACGCUGGCGGCAGGCUUAACACAUGCAAGUCGAACGGUUGUAGCAAUACAGCAGUGGCGGACGGGUGAGUAACACGUGGGAACCUUCCUAGGGGUACGGAACAACUCAGGGAAACUUGAGCUAAUACCGUAUACGUCCGUGAGGAGAAAGAUUUAUCGCCCUUAGACGGGCCCGCGUCGGAUUAGCUAGUUGGUGGGUAACGGCCUACCAAGGCGACGAUCCGUAGCUGAUCUUAGAGGAUGAUCAGCCACACUGGGACUGAGACACGGCCCAGACUCCUACGGGAGGCAGCAGUGGGGAAUCUUGGACAAUGGGCGCAAGCCUGAUCCAGCCAUGCCGCGUGAGUGAAGAAGGUCUUCGGAUUGUAAAGCUCUUUUGCCAGGGACGAUAAUGACGGUACCUGGAGAAUAAGCCCCGGCAAACUUCGUG